GCCGGCAGCUAGCUCUCUGCAACUCUCACAUGGUCGCCCACUGAAGCUAAGCAGGGCUGCGCCUGGUCAGUACCUGGAUGGGAGACCAUAUGGGAAAGCUAGGUUGCUGCCGAAA
rfam:Danio rerio chromosome 14, GRCz11 reference primary assembly.